rnacentral:rRNA from 1 species
AUGCAUGUCUAAGUAUAAGCAAUCUAUACAGUGAAACUGCGAAUGGCUCAUUAAAUCAGUUAUCGUUUAUUUGAUAGUACCUUACUACUUGGAUAACCGUGGUAAUUCUAGAGCUAAUACAUGCUAAAAACCUCGACUUCGGAAGGGGUGUAUUUAUUAGAUAAAAAACCAAUGCCCUUCGGGGCUCCUUGGUGAUUCAUAAUAACUUAACGAAUCGCAUGGCCUUGUGCCGGCGAUGGUUCAUUCAAAUUUCUGCCCUAUCAACUUUCGAUGGUAUGGUCUUGGCUUACCAUGGUUUCAACGGGUAACGGGGAAUUAGGGUUCUAUUCCGGAGAGGGAGCCUGAGAAACGGCUACCACAUCCAAGGAAGGCAGCAGGCGCGCAAAUUACCCAAUCCCGACACGGGGAGGUAGUGACAAUAAAUACUGAUACAGGGCUCUUUUGGGUCUUGUAAUUGGAAUGAGUACAAUUUAAAUCCCUUAACGAGGAACAAUUGGAGGGCAAGUCUGGUGCCAGCAGCCGCGGUAAUUCCAGCUCCAAUAGCGUAUAUUAAAGUUGUUGCAGUUAAAAAGCUCGUAGUUGAACCUUGGGCCUGGUUGGCCGGUCCGCCUCACCGCGUGCACUGGUCCGACCGGGUCUUUCCUUCUGACUAGCCGCAUGCCCUUCACUGGGUGUGUUGGGGAAUCAGGACUUUUACUUUGAAAAAAUUAGAGUGUUCAAAGCAGGCCUAUGCUCGAAUACAUUAGCAUGGAAUAAUAGAAUAGGACGUGUGGUUCUAUUUUGUUGGUUUCUAGGACCGCCGUAAUGAUUAAUAGGGAUAGUCGGGGGUGUCAGUAUUGCGUUGUCAGAGGUGAAAUUCUUGGAUUUACGCAAGACUAACUACUGCGAAAGCAUUCACCAAGGAUGUUUUCAUUAAUCAGUGAACGAAAGUUAGGGGAUCGAAGACGAUCAGAUACCGUCGUAGUCUUAACCAUAAACUAUGCCGACUAGGGAUCGGGCGAUGUUAUCUUUUUGACUCGCUCGGCACCUUACGAGAAAUCAAAGUCUUUGGGUUCUGGGGGGAG